GAUGAACGCUAGCUGCAGGCUUAACACAUGCAAGUCGAGCGACCGGCGCACGGGUGAGUAAUACGUAUCCAACCUUCUCUUUACUCGGGGAUAGCCUUUCGAAAGAAAGAUUAAUACCCGAUAUAAAGGAUGGGGAUGCGUUUCAUUAGGUUGUUGGUAAGGUAACGGCCCGCCAAGCCUUCGAUGGAUAGGGGUUCUGUGAGGAAGGUCCCCCACAUUGGAACUGUGGCACGGUACAAACUCGUACGGGAGGCAGCGAAUAGGAAGAAUGGGCAAGGGGCGGUAGCCUGAACCGGCCAAGUAGCGUGAAGGGUGAAGGGAUAUAGGGCGUAAUCUUCAUUUAAGAAAGAAUGUGUAUUAUAUGAAAAAGGAUCGGCUAACUCCGUGCCAGCAGCCGCGGUAAUUC
rnacentral:rRNA from 1 species